ACAUGAGUGGUUCAGCAGUAGAAUUCUUGCCUCCUAUGCAGGAGACCUGGGUUCAAUUCCUGGCCAGUGUA
rnacentral:tRNA from 1 species